UGCGUAGGGUGCGAGCGUUAAUCGGAAUUACUGGGCGUAAAGCGUGCGCAGGCGGUUUUGUAAGCCAGAUGUGAAAUCCCUGGGCUCAACCUGGGAACUGCAUUCGAUACUGCCGAGCUAGAGUGUGGGAGAGGGUAGUGGAAUUCCCGGUGUAGCGGUGAAAUGCGUAGAUAUCGGGAGGAACAUCAGUGGCGAAGGCGACUGCCUGGCCCAACACUGACGCUGAGGUGCGAAAGCGUGGGUAGCAAACAGG
rnacentral:rRNA from 1 species